AUCAAGAUGGAAUUUAUAUUCUCGGACAGAUUACCAGCAGGCUAUGUGAAAGGCAGGAGUUUGACCGACUGGGAGUUAGACGUGCACUGGCCACCAGGGGGUGGUAUGGAACACGACAGGCAUUGGCGAUGUGGUGCUGGCAGUGGGUGGCAGUGGAGGCACUGCCGGCCCCCAUGGGCCCCGAGGAGAGUGGGACCGUGGCAGGAUGGUGGAGCAGGUCUCAUGUGGAUGUUCCUGGUUGGGUGGUUCCCUUGGAAGCUCUCCUCCAAGUGGUGGAAACAUCUCGUGGCACUGCCAUCCUCAACAAAUAGCCUCUAAGAUCACCAUGGGACGGAAGAAAAAGAAGUUUGUAUCUAUGUCACAUGCUAAUAUAUGUUCACAUCAUUUUAGCCCAUAUUACAUUGGUCAAGACUAAUCAUAUGGUCACAGCCAUAUGCAAGAGGUUAGGGAAAUGUAGUUUCCUGGAUCCCAGGUAGAAAAUGAAGCAGUUCAAUAAAGUUAUGGCAUUUCUAUGCCAUUGGCCACCCUCCAGUGACCAAAUUGCUUUAUAUUUCUCCCCACAUAAUACAAUUUGCUCACCCUCUUCCCAAGAGAGAGAACUCAGUCACCUAUCCAGCUGUAGUAGGCAACUCAGAGCCCAGGAUCUCUGCAUGGUUCAGGCCUCCCCCUGAGAACAGCAGCAGUUCUUUUUGGUCUGACCUUCUGUGAUCUGAGAGAUAAGAUCUGCCACCCCACUUUCCUGAUCUCCAAAAUACAGCGGUGGACCAGGACAGGAGAACCUCUGAUAGAACCGCAUGGAACUCUUCCAUUUGGAGAAUUAUUCUAUUAAUUCUGGGAAGAAAGUCACAUAUGGGGACCUUUGUACAUGGGGACCCACUGUCUGGGAAAAGGAGGAAGGAAUGUUUUCUUAAAGGUUACGGAGUAGCUUCUUGUGGAGAAUGUCUGACUUUUGCAGGGUGUUCUACAUCGUCUUUCAAUCUCUAAUAACUACAAUAUAACGUCUUCUGAUAAUUUCACCCUACCUUAUA